GACGAACGCUGGCGGCGUGCCUAAUACAUGCAAGUAGAACGCUGAAGGAGGAGCUUGCUUCUCUGGAUGAGUUGCGAACGGGUGAGUAACGCGUAGGUAACCUGCCUGGUAGCGGGGGAUAACUAUUGGAAACGAUAGCUAAUACCGCAUAAGAGUAGAUGUUGCAUGACAUUUGCUUAAAAGGUUCAAUUGCAUCACUACCAGAUGGACCUGCGUUGUAUUAGCUAGGUGGUGGGGUAACGGCUCAUCAAGGCCACGAUACAUAGCCGACCUGAGAGGGUAAGCGGCAACGCUGGGACGGGGACACGGCCAAGAACCCUGCGGGAGGCAGCAGUAGGGGAUCUUUGGGAAAGGAAGGAGGUCUGACUGAGGAACGAGGGGUGAGUGAAGAAGGUUGUCGGGUCGUAAAGGUCUGUUGGAAGAGAAGAACGAAUAUGAGAGUGGAAAGUUCACACUGUGACGGUACCUGACCAGAAAGCGACGGCUAACUACGUG
rnacentral:rRNA from 1 species